AGUUUCCUAUUAAAAAUUCUAAAAAUACUUAUAUUUAGGAACAGAGAGAGUAGUGGCUAGUGCACGGCGGCACGCCGCGCCGUACGGACUAAUUAACUAUUAUUAAGCUUCUCUUGUAAUGCGUGGUAAGUGUUCUAAGAUUUUUAUUUGUGGCAAAAUAGUUCAUACAUAGUACAUUUAGUUGGUAGAUAGCGGUACAUCUAGUUGAUACAUAGAUGGUUCUAAAAAAAUGAUACAUGGGUGGGGGGUGGUGACAAAGUAGAGUUCAUCUAGUUAAUCCAUACAUAGAAGAUACAUGGCACAUGUUGGAAAGCUCUUGCUCAUUUCUUAGACUUGGGAUGUUGAUCCUUCGGUUGUUUUUGUCUCGGUAAUGUAGUGAUAAGAGAUCAAGCUAGUUGUUUCGCCCGUGUUGUCGAUGGUUUACCUCCAGUAUAAACAAUGGUGAAGUUACUGGAUGUGCACCCUUGUUCUCGACGAAUUAGCAAGAUGUCUUGAAAUUGGAGACAAAUUUUCUUGAGGAUCAUUGUCCAUCUUGAUUUGUCUCGCUGAAGGUUUGUUUUUUGUUGUUCUUGUAUAUGCAGUUCUUCUUUGGCCCUGCUCCAUUCUUGCGCGGCUGAGCAGCUCUUCUACAUUGUUUUCGACACAUUAUAGUUGUGGUCCUUGAUUCCUAUGUUGUGAAGAUUGCAAAGGCGGUGAACAAUAGCUUCAACUGCCUUUUCUUGCGCCUCUUCUUCUGUUGCUGCUGGUUUGCCAUGAAACACGUACAUCUUGGAUUGUGUUUCUCCAUGAGCUAGGGGAACGGUCAUUUUGAUCCAGGCUCCAAAGUAGCCUGUGGGGUAGGCGUCAUACCCUUCUUCAUAGAUCGUUAGGCGAGCCUUGAUGAUGAUUGCUUCAAGAAGUAGACAUUUUGGGAUCAGAACGGUUAUAGCUUCCUGUAUGUGCGUUUCGUUUAUGGUUAGUAGGAGAACUAUCAGUGUUGCAAAGGGUGUCGUUGGAUAGUACUCCCUCCGUAAACUAAUAUAAGAGCAUUUAGGUCACUACUUUAAUGAUCUAAACACUCUUAUAUUAGUUUACAGAGGGAGUAUUUACCUCGUGCUCGGACGAUGCUGAGUACGUAGCCAUGAGUGCUACUUUUGCGGUUUUGGGUUGCUCCACUUGUUGUAGGUGUGUUAUGUUGUGUACCGGUGCACUCUUGUAGCUAGGAGUAGGGACUCUUUUGUUAUUUUGAGCACGGACGCAGACUGUCUCUGUGUAGAGUUACUGAAUCGUGUGUAAGUAUGUGUAGCUUCAUGGUUGAGAUAUCUGAUUUGAUAUGUGGUACGCUUGCAUGAUGUUUUGCUGCCUUGUUGCAUGCAUUUGAACAUUUGUGUGGCACGUGGUGUGACACUUGCUAUUUGUAUGCAUGUUUGUUGUCUACUUGGCGUUCCACCGUCCGUGUUGGUGCAUCCGCGCAUGCAUGAGAUGGUCGCUUGGUGUCGUGAAAAAAAACAUGUAAUUGAGGUGAUAGGUGAUACAUGGAUAUUUUACAAGAUGUGAUGCUUGUUCGGCGGAACAUGAUUCCUUCCUUGGAGCAGGGGCGGACCGAGGCAAAAUUCUACUGAGCCUGCUACAUUUGAUUGGAGGCACACCUUCUACAAAGUUGUUCAUUUUGAAGUGUUUUGUUUCAAAAUGUGCACAAAUACAAAGGAAAUUCUAAAAAUUGAGUGGGGUCCUAGGCCCCACUCCGUUGUACUUGGGUCCGCCCUGCCUUGGAGUGGCUUGUGGUCUGAUCCAAGACUUGUCUGCAUUGCCACGAGAAUCAUUAAUGUAAUAUAAUCAACGAUGAAAAAAUAGACAUCUUGAUUAAGUAUUAUGCAUUAUUUUACCGUC